CCCUUUCAGAGCUUUCCCGGGUCCAUAACAAGCCCAGGCAGCUAUUCAAAUGCAAGUUGCAUCCCCAAAUGCGAGGCUGGCCUGACCAAAAAGAGCCAGUCGGCGCCCGGAAGAGGCGAGACUCGCGCUUGGGUUCUCAAUCCUUCUCUUUUCUCCUUUCUUUUUCCCUUUCUCCUCUCCGGUUCCUGAUUUAGCUGGGAGCUGUUUAUUUAUGGCUGCAAAUGUGUGUGUUCAAGAGAGAGAGGGAAUUGAUCUUUGCCUGGACUUAAAGAUGGAGCCGAAGAAGCUGGAGGGAAUUUGGGCUUGUGCGUCUGGCCCAGACCCUGUGCGCCGAGCCCGAGGUCUAUCCUCCCCGCACCUCUCACCUCGCGACCUUGCAGGAAUCCGCGGGCCCGGAUGCUGCCCAGCUGACCCUCCUGCCCCGGGCCUGGCUGCAGAGAAAGUCUUCGGGCAGGAGGCCAUCCUGUUCCUGUCUUUAAAAUGAGCACAAUAAAAGGGGGCAAAUCCUCGAACGCGAACCUGAUCUCAUGUCACAGAAGCAACUUGCCAUGAAAUCCGCUAAUGCGCUGCGACUCGCCCACCAGGAUAAAUAACCCCAUCGUCCGUGUAAUCAGCACGUUCCCAAUGAAGUCGUUUUCCUAGAAUGCGCUCUCCGCCUGCCACACUUGAGGAAUCCAGCCCACAGAGGUUUCGGAAACCCAGUUUGAGUGAUUCCAGCCUAGACUGAAACCCUGAGAGCCUCCCAGGAAAGAGAGCCCGGCCUGGGCCAAGCAGUCGGACACACACACACACACACACACACACACACACACACACACACACACACACACGGACUGCGUAGCUCUUCGCAGGAUCGAAGGCUGGAUGCGGAUCUGGGAGGCGGUGGCUAAGCGAACCAGGAAGACUGUGACGGAAACCAAUACAGCAGUGUCAUCUUGAAAGUUAUUUGGAAGAACAGGACCUGGAGUCUGGGUUUGAAUCAAAAAAUUGUGAGCAAGGGACAGAUCACCCUGUAUUUCUCUGGAACGAGGCAGAACUGAGACCUGCUCAGCUGAACCAGCGUGGCCACAUAUUGGGGACUAGGAAAUUGUUCUCAGACACUGUAGCACACACAUCCUCUGACAGCGAGCUCACUCCUGCGCAGUGGGCUUCUGGUUCUGCCACUGCACUCCACAAACGCCCUACAGGCCUCCUCCAGGUUUUGCCAGGCAAAUGAAACGAGCACAACUCGAUAGUAAAUUAUUUUGUUCAGCCUUCUCUCUUUUUAUGAAAAUAAGAGGCAACACUUUGUCAUUUUUAAUCACAUAAGCAGACAAUAAAUCUAAUUUUGAUAUUGAUUUUU
rnacentral:lncRNA from 1 species